CCUACGGGGGGCUGCAGUAGGGAAUCUUUCACAAUGGGCGAAAGCCUGAUGGAGCAACGCCGCGUGCAGGAUGAAGGCCUUCGGGUUGUAAACCGCUUUUAUAAGCGAGAAAUAUGAUGGUAACUUAUGAAUAAGGAUCGGCUAACUACGUGCCAGCAGCCGCGGUCAUACGUAGGAGCCGAGCAUUAUCCGGAGUGACUGGGUGUAAAGAGUUGCGUAGGUGGCAUAAUAAGUAGCUAGUGAAAUCUGGUGGCUCAACCAUUCAGACUAUUAGCUAAACUGUUAGGCUCGAGAGCGUGAGGGGUAAGUGGAAUUUCUAGUGUAGGAGUGAAAUGCGUAGUUAUUAGAAGGAACACCAAUGGCGUAGGCAGGUUACUGGGACGGUACUGACACUGAGGCACGAAAGCGUGGGGAGCAAACAGGAUUAGAUACCCUAGUAGUC
rnacentral:rRNA from 1 species